UACUCAUAGUACCAUAUUGCCCGAGUGUUGAUCUUUGCUCAGACAUUCUUUUGUGGGUUUUUCAGUAGUCAUAAUAUCAUAUUGUCCAAAUGUUGAUCUGAUUUACUGUCUUCUGUAUGCCAGGCUCGUGAUGGAGACACCAGUGACAGAAAUUUCAGAACUGCAGUCGGAUAAUUCUUCCAGUGUCAUUGACCAUAACCGUGAUAAUUUGGUUUCCAG
rnacentral:lncRNA from 1 species